rnacentral:rRNA from 1 species
GAUGAACGCUGGCGGCGUGCCUAAUACAUGCAAGUCGAACGCACAGCGAAAGGUGCUUGCACCUUUCAAGUGAGUGGCGAACGGGUGAGUAACACGUGGACAACCUGCCUCAAGGCUGGGGAUAACAUUUGGAAACAGAUGCUAAUACCGAAUAAAACUUACUGUCGCAUGACACAAAGUUAAAAGGCGCUUCGGCGUCACCUAGAGAUGGAUCCGCGGUGCAUUAGUUAGUUGGUGGGGUAAAGGCCUACCAAGACAAUGAUGCAUAGCCGAGUUGAGUGACUGAUCGGCCACAUGGGGACUGAGACACGGCCCAAACGCCUACGGGAGGCUGCAGUAGGGAAUCUUCCGCAAUGGGCGAAAGCCUGAUGGAGCAACGCCGCGUGUGUGAUGAAGGCUUUCGGGUCGUAAAGCACUGUUGUAUGGGAAGAACAGCUAGAAUAGGAAAUGAUUUUAGUUUGACGGUACCAUACCAGAAAGGGACGGCUAAAUACGUG